AGGUGUCCCCAGGCCAUUGUUCAGCUCGCCGCGCGCUCCCGAGUUCCCGAGGGCGCCCCGGGACGCGAGGAGAAAGCAGCCCGACUCAGCCCCGAGAGGUUCGGUGUGCGGGCAGCGGCCAGGGACUUUGCGGGGUAGCGCGGACUCCUGGACUUCCAACAAGGGCCGCUGCGCAGGCGCUGCAAUCACUGCAGGCACUUGUCUGCAUGCCUGGUGGGGCUUGGAGUCUGGGGAGGCUUAUCAGUAAAGCCCAGAGCAUUUGCUAUUUAUUGCUCAAGGGGCACCUUUGUACAGUCUGGCCGUUUGCUUGGCAUGGCCUCUUAGAACUCCUUAUUGUUUAAGAAAUCCGAUCUGGUGAAUAAGAAGUUAGUCUUUCUCUCCCAGUCACUGCCUCCUGGACGAAUAUUUGCCAGCACGGAGGCAGAGAGGACAGAAAACCACAAGCCAUUUGGGGAACUGGGAACAGUUCAGUGUUUCUGGGGUGUGGGGGUGUCAAGGUGGGGGAUGGGGUUGAUGGAAAACAUUUGCAAUUUCUGCUUUACCUCACGAUUCCCAGCUCUGACCUCUGGACCUGUUCUCUCCCACCCCUAACAUAAAUCAUUUUAGUUUC
rnacentral:lncRNA from 1 species